CCUACGGGUGGCAGCAGUGGGGAAUAUUGGACAAUGGGGGCAACCCUGAUCCAGCCAUGCCGCGUGUGUGAAGAAGGCCCUCGGGUUGUAAAGCACUUUCAGUGAGGAAGAACGCCUGGUGGUUAAUACCCAUCAGGAAAGACAUCUCUCACAGAAGAAGCACCGGCUAACUCCGUGCCAGCAGCCGCGGUAAUACGGAGGGUGCGAGCGUUAAUCGGAAUUACUGGGCGUAAAGCGCGCGUAGGUGGCUUGAUAAGCCGGUUGUGAAAGCCCCGGGCUCAACCUGGGAACGGCAUCCGGAACUGUCAAGCUAGAGUGCAGGAGAGGAAGGUAGAAUUCCCGGUGUAGCGGUGAAAUGCGUAGAGAUCGGGAGGAAUACCAGUGGCGAAGGCGGCCUUCUGGACUGACACUGACACUGAGGUGCGAAAGCGUGGGUAGCAAACAGGAUUAGAUACCCUGGUAGUC
rnacentral:rRNA from 1 species